rnacentral:lncRNA from 1 species
ACCCUCCGGCCCCGCAGCCCAAAAUAGCCACGGCCUCACCUGAGCAAGGGGGGGGAGGGCGGGGGGCCAGGGCUGCCCGCCUGCCUUCGUCCCACUGCUCCAUAUUAAUGAGCCCCCUCUUCCUCCCCCUCCUCCUCCUCCUCCUCCUCCCCCCCCGGUGUCCGGCUGUGCAGCCGGGGCUGCUGCCGUGUUACCUGAGCGCAGCCCGACGAGGCCACCGCCAUGGCCGGCUGCUCCCCCAGGCUCCAGCUCUGGCUCUUGCUCCACGUCUCCUGCCUCUGCCUGGCCCAGAUCCGAGGGCCGCCGGGAGAGCCCGGCCCGCGAGGUCCCCCCGGUCCCCCAGGAGUGCCAGGAGUGGAUGGCAUUGACGGUGACAAAGGCUCUCCUGGAGCCCCUGGGUCCCCGGGUACCAAGGGCGAGCCUGGAGCUCCCGGUCCAGAUGGGCCCCCGGGGAAGCCAGGCAUCGAUGUGAGUACCAACCCCCUGUCCCCCCCCAGCAUCCCUGACCACAGCCCCGGAGUCACAGCACGUCUCGGCAAACUCCUCUCCCCCCA